GGGUUGUGAGGUUAAGCGACUAAGCGUACACGGUGGAUGCCCUGGCAGUCAGAGGCGAUGAAGGACGUGCUAAUCUGCGAUAAGCGCCGGUAAGGUGAUAUGAACCGUUAUAACCGGCGAUUUCCGAAUGGGGAAACCCAGUGUGAUUCGUCACACUAUCAUUAACUGAAUCCAUAGGUUAAUGAGGCGAACCGGGGGAACUGAAACAUCUAAGUACCCCGAGGAAAAGAAAUCAACCGAGAUUCCCCCAGUAGCGGCGAGCGAACGGGGAGGAGCCCAGAGCCUGAAUCAGCAUGUGUGUUAGUGGAAGCGUCUGGAAAGGCGCGCGAUACAGGGUGACAGCCCCGUACACAAAAGCGCACAUGCUGUGAGCUCGAUGAGUAGGGCGGGACACGUGGUAUCCUGUCUGAAUAUGGGGGGACCAUCCUCCAAGGCUAAAUACUCCUGACUGACCGAUAGUGAACCAGUACCGUGAGGGAAAGGCGAAAAGAACCCCGGCGAGGGGAGUGAAAAAGAACCUGAAACCGUGUACGUACAAGCAGUGGGAGCACCCUUUGGGGUGUGACUGCGUACCUUUUGUAUAAUGGGUCAGCGACUUAUAUUCUGUAGCAAGGUUAACCGCAUAGGGGAGCCGUAGGGAAACCGAGUCUUAACCGGGCGUUAAGUUGCAGGGUAUAGACCCGAAACCCGGUGAUCUAGCCAUGGGCAGGUUGAAGGUUGGGUAACACUAACUGGAGGACCGAACCGACUAAUGUUGAAAAAUUAGCGGAUGACCUGUGGCUGGGGGUGAAAGGCCAAUCAAACCGGGAGAUAGCUGGUUCUCCCCGAAAGCUAUUUAGGUAGCGCCUCGUGAACUCAUCUCCGGGGGUAGAGCACUGUUUCGGCUAGGGGGCCAUCCCGGCUUACCAACCCGAUGCAAACUGCGAAUACCGGAGAAUGUUAUCACGGGAGACACACGGCGGGUGCUAACGUCCGUCGUGAAGAGGGAAACAACCCAGACCGCCAGCUAAGGUCCCAAAGUCAUGGUUAAGUGGGAAACGAUGUGGGAAGGCCCAGACAGCCAGGAUGUUGGCUUAGAAGCAGCCAUCAUUUAAAGAAAGCGUAAUAGCUCACUGGUCGAGUCGGCCUGCGCGGAAGAUGUAACGGGGCUAAACCAUGCACCGAAGCUGCGGCAGCGAACGUAUCACUUAAAGCGAUUCAGCGGGUUACGAUUGACGGAGCGAAGCGACGUCAAAGCGUAUACAAAGUCGAGUCGGUUUAAGGAUACGUUCGUUGGGUAGGGGAGCGUUCUGUAAGCCUGCGAAGGUGGCCUGUGAGGGUUGCUGGAGGUAUCAGAAGUGCGAAUGCUGACAUAAGUAACGAUAAAGCGGGUGAAAAGCCCGCUCGCCGGAAGACCAAGGGUUCCUGUCCAACGUUAAUCGGGGCAGGGUGAGUCGACCCCUAAGGCGAGGCCGAAAGGCGUAGUCGAUGGGAAACGGGUUAAUAUUCCCGUACUUGGUGUUACUGCGAAGGGGGGACGGAGAAGGCUAUGUUGGCCGGGCGACGGUUGUCCCGGUUUAAGCGUGUAGGUGUGUGUUCCAGGUAAAUCCGGUUCACUUUAACACUGAGGCGUGAUGACGAGGCACUACGGUGCUGAAGCAACAAAUGCCCUGCUUCCAGGAAAAGCCUCUAAGCAUCAGGUAACAUCAAAUCGUACCCCAAACCGACACAGGUGGUCAGGUAGAGAAUACCAAGGCGCUUGAGAGAACUCGGGUGAAGGAACUAGGCAAAAUGGUGCCGUAACUUCGGGAGAAGGCACGCUGACACGUAGGUGAAGUGAUUUACUCAUGGAGCUGAAGUCAGUCGAAGAUACCAGCUGGCUGCAACUGUUUAUUAAAAACACAGCACUGUGCAAACACGAAAGUGGACGUAUACGGUGUGACGCCUGCCCGGUGCCGGAAGGUUAAUUGAUGGGGUCAGCGCAAGCGAAGCUCCUGAUCGAAGCCCCGGUAAACGGCGGCCGUAACUAUAACGGUCCUAAGGUAGCGAAAUUCCUUGUCGGGUAAGUUCCGACCUGCACGAAUGGCGUAAUGAUGGCCAGGCUGUCUCCACCCGAGACUCAGUGAAAUUGAACUCGCUGUGAAGAUGCAGUGUACCCGCGGCAAGACGGAAAGACCCCGUGAACCUUUACUAUAGCUUGACACUGAACAUUGAGCCUUGAUGUGUAGGAUAGGUGGGAGGCUUUGAAGUGUGGACGCCAGUCUGCAUGGAGCCGACCUUGAAAUACCACCCUUUAAUGUUUGAUGUUCUAACGUGGACCCGUUACCCGGGUUGCGGACAGUGUCUGGUGGGUAGUUUGACUGGGGCGGUCUCCUCCUAAAGAGUAACGGAGGAGCACGAAGGUUGGCUAAUCCUGGUCGGACAUCAGGAGGUUAGUGCAAUGGCAUAAGCCAGCUUGACUGCGAGCGUGACGGCGCGAGCAGGUGCGAAAGCAGGUCAUAGUGAUCCGGUGGUUCUGAAUGGAAGGGCCAUCGCUCAACGGAUAAAAGGUACUCCGGGGAUAACAGGCUGAUACCGCCCAAGAGUUCAUAUCGACGGCGGUGUUUGGCACCUCGAUGUCGGCUCAUCACAUCCUGGGGCUGAAGUAGGUCCCAAGGGUAUGGCUGUUCGCCAUUUAAAGUGGUACGCGAGCUGGGUUUAGAACGUCGUGAGACAGUUCGGUCCCUAUCUGCCGUGGGCGCUGGAGAACUGAGGGGGGCUGCUCCUAGUACGAGAGGACCGGAGUGGACGCAUCACUGGUGUUCGGGUUGUCAUGCCAAUGGCACUGCCCGGUAGCUAAAUGCGGAAGAGAUAAGUGCUGAAAGCAUCUAAGCACGAAACUUGCCCCGAGAUGAGUUCUCCCUGAGACUUUAAGUCUCCUGAAGGAACGUUGAAGACGACGACGUUGAUAGGCCGGGUGUGUAAGCGCAGCGAUGCGUUGAGCUAACCGGUACUAAUGAACCGUGAGGCUUAACCUUACAACGCCGAAG
rnacentral:rRNA from 2 species